rnacentral:RNase_P_RNA from 1 species
AGAGUUAGCGAGGCGGUUGCGGAUUCAGUAUGAAUCUGAGGAAAGUCCGGACUCCCGAAAACCCAAACUUGCUGGGUAAUGCCCAGUGCGCGUGAGCGUGAGGAAAGUGCCACAGAAAAAUACCGCCGGAGAAGAGCGGGAAUCGGGUAGAAGAUGCGAAAGCCUCGUAUGCCCCACUCCCCACUCCGGUAAGGGUGCAAAGGUGCGGUAAGAGCGCACCAGCAGUAUCGAGAGGUACUGGCUCGGUAAACCCCGGUGGGGAGCAAGGUCGGACGAAACAAGGGUUGGGUUUUUUCCUGUUUCGGUAGUUCACUCCACUUUCAAUCAAGGUUGAGUGAGCGAGAACCGCUUGAGGUUGGAGGUAACUCCAAUCCCAGAUAGAUAGCUGCCCUCACCCUGCAUUUUGCAAGGUGAGAACAGAAUCCGGCUUAUGUCUAACUCUUCUC